GAUGUAUGGGUUUAGGGAUGUAAGGGUUUAGGGUAUAGUGAUUAAUAAUUUUGAUGUUGGUUUUAUAAUUAUCUAUUUAUAUUUAGUCUUUAUGAAUAGUGUAUACUGUUUUGUAGUAGGUGUGAUGAACUUUAACCCAAUGGUUAAGGGGUGUUUAUAAUUUAUGUUUAAUUGUUUAAAUAGUUAAUAGAGUUUAAACCUAUGAUAUUUGAGUUUAGGGAUGUUAGGGGUUUAGGGUAUACUCAUUACUAAUUUUGAUGUUGUUUUACCAUCUAUAACUUGUUUAUACUGUUUUGAAGAUGGUGUUCUCUAACUUAAUAUCAUGGUUAAGUUAAUCAUAAACCUAAGGGUUAACCAUAAAUUCUAUGGUUAGCUCUAAAUCCUAAGGUUAACUCUAAGCCCUAGGAUUAACACUGAGCUCUAGGGUUAACCCUAAAUCCUAGGGUUUACUCUAAUUCAUAGGGUUUAGGGUU
rnacentral:lncRNA from 1 species